AAAGUCUUUGCUCCUUAUUAUAACACUCAAAAACAAUUCCUACAGAGAAAAUUAGCAUGGCCCCUGUGUAAGGAUAACAUGCAAAUCCAUGAAGCAUGCCAUAUUGAA
ensembl:snRNA U6 U6 spliceosomal RNA